rnacentral:rRNA from 1 species
UACGGGGGGGGCAAGCGUUGUUCGGAAUUACUGGGCGUAAAGGGCUCGUAGGCGGCCAACUAAGUCGGAUGUGAAAUCCCCAGGCUCAACCUGGGAACUGCAUCCGAUACUGGAUGGCUUGAAUUCGGGAGAGGGAUGCAGAAUUCCAGGUGUAGCGGUGAAAUGCGUAGAUAUCUGGAGGAAUACCGGUGGCGAAGGCGGCAUCCUGGACCGACAUUGACGCUGAGGAGCGAAAGCUAGGG